rnacentral:rRNA from 1 species
UACGUAGGGGGCAAGCGUUGGCCGGAUUUAUUGGGCGUAAAGAGCGUGUAGGCGGCCAGACAAGUCUGCUGUGAAAACUCGAGGCUCAACCUCGAGCUGUCGGUGGAAACUGUCUGGCUAGAGUCCGGAAGAGGAGAGUGGAAUUCCUGGUGUAGCGGUGAAAUGCGCAGAUAUCAGGAAGAACACCUAUGGCGAAGGCAGCUCUCUGGGACGGUACUGACGCUGAGACGCGAAAGCGUGGGGAGCGAACAGG